rnacentral:lncRNA from 12 species
UACUUUUCCUGCUCCCCGUCUGAGAGCUCGCAGGAAGAGAAGCGCCUGACUGCGCAGCCCCUUGUCCCACUUCCCUGAAUUCCUCCUACACAGAGCCUGGCAACCCAGCUACUGGGUGACCUCUCCUUUGCACCUUACAACAACCUUGUGAGGACCCUCCCCGUUUUUCAGAUAUGGACAUUGAGUCUGGGAAAGCUCUCCUUCAAGGACACUCAUCAGAUAACUUGGAGAUUAUGACUCAGAGAUUAUGACGGAUGAUCUUGAGGUCUCUUUCUUAUACCGGAGAAGUCACCACUGAAUUCUGUGGAUUACCCCUGAGGAUCACAGCGAGUUUAUUCUCUGGGCUACUAUACAGGAUUUUGCCGAGGCCUCCCUUCCAUGGCCGGCCACCGGCUUUGCACACACGUCUACCGUGGGCCCUACUCCACAGCAGAGCUGGAGGGGCCGCCGACUCUGCAGGAUGCCCGUGGAUCUCAGGCUCCUGCAAACACCGGUGUCUAAGGAGUUAGCUGGGAGGCCACCCCCGUGGGAGCCUGCAAGGUGGGGAGACCGAAAAGCCAGUCCUUCACCCCGCUGUGCUGUGUCUCUCUCUCUGCCUUAGGUGGCUCUCAGAGACUGCAUCUGCCUGUGGCACAGGCCCUUGGCAGACAGGAAGCUACGGGCCAGGCCGUAGCUUCCACUGGGUGACCCUGGUCCCGGUGCUUGGGAAACACAGCCUGUGCCCUUUAUCGUGCCAGCCCCGGGAGGCUGGGGUGGUAGCUGCUUCCACCGCAUGCCCCCACCCCCGACCCCUGCUCAGCACCUCUACCCCUCCUCUAGCUGUCAUCAGUCCCCUGCCUUCACUCCCCUCUGUUGAAAACACUCGAGUUUUAUGUGGAAUUCAAGAAACAAAACAGAGGAGCACAGAAUAAGGUGGGGGGAAUGUAACAGGAUGAAUCAGAGAGGGGGACAGACGGUAGGAGACUCUUAAUCAUAGGAAGCACACUGAGGGUUGCUGGAGGGGAGGCGGGAGAGGGGAUGGGGUAAGUGGGUGAUGGGCAUCAAGGAGGGCACAUGACGGAAUGAGCGCUGGGUGUUACACGCAACUAAUGAACCUCUGAAACCAAUAAUUCACUAUAUGCUAAUUAGAAUUUAAAUAAAAAAAAAAACAGCACUUGACUGGCUGGACCC